UGUGUGUGUGUGUGUGUGUACGUGUGUGUGUGUGUGUGCGUGUGUGUGUGUGUGUGCCAAGCAACUCCCCGGAAAUGCACAAAUAAACAAAUGGAGCGAAACUAGGAUGCAGCACAGCAGCACACUUUUGGAGCGAGGAGGAAACUGACUACUUUCUUCAUGUGGUGUGUGACAUGAAUGCAAUGUGCUUUAUUGAUGGUAGAAAGUGACAAGCGGAAAUGAUGUCACUUUUGCCUCAUGAUGUGAGCCAUACUUCACGAUUUUUAGCGGACGACUCACCAUUCCACAUAGAUGGGAAUAACUGUCCACUCGCACACGUAAACCAGUGAUUCUGAAUGCUUCGGAAACCAGAAUUUUGACCUUAACCCAAAUAUUGACUGCAUUUAAACGUAGUCACUAAAACGUGUUUUUGUGUGGACGGAGACAACAUAAAAGCAAACUAAUGAGGAACACCUGCACAAGACACGGGUGGCUGUGGUAGCUGAUUGGUUGACACAGGGGACCAGGUUGACAACUCGUGGAAAAGAAAAAAAAAUGAACGAGAAAGACACGCACCACAAGAAGACAUUACAUGAAACAAAACAAACUGCAAUCUAAACAAAAACACAGAUCACGACGAGAAGCAUCUUAUUUAGAAUGACUGCUUUGAACAGCACCCUUUAUUCACUUAUUUAACGUGCGGCAGCUGUCUUUGUCUUUAUUCUUCUGUCCUAUAAUUGAGCGUGACUGUUACCGCCGUGUUUCAGCCCAGUGGGCUUUGUGUAGGACUGUGCAUGUUCCUUCUAUGUUGACUACAUAUUAAAGGUCACGAGACCCUCUUUGAGGAGAGAACAUGAUCUGCUUGGCAGUUUUGUAUCAUCAUAAUAAGCUUUGUGAUCAUUCAAGGCUUUUCACACACUGUGCUUCAAGCUUGCUUCCCAAGAUAACAGAGCGCUGCAACUUUAAUAGCCAUCGGUUUCUCAGAAUUCAUGAUGAGCGGUCACACUCCAGCACAUUGCAAGCAUAAGAGCUGAGGUGGCUUCAUCCAGGAGUAGGAUCUUGGGAUCGCGUAUGAUUGCCCUGGCAAUGGCAAUGCGCUGCUUCUGACCACGAGAUAAUUGAGAACCCUGGGCACCCACGUUUGUGUCAUAUUUCUGAGCAGGAAAAUCAUACAGUUUUCUACAGAAGAAACAUUGAUGCUGGGCAGCUCUGAAACACGUUUGUGGCCAUGGCAGACUCGAAGAAAGCUCUCCUCGUUUUAUAUCCGGUCCCUGGCCCCAUGAGCAUUAUGAUUGAAUAUGACAAAACCGUUACCAUACAGCCUAACUUGCCAUGAAAAUUCCCACCGAAUGCUGAAAAGAGUCGGUCAGGAAGAUGCCAGUCAUUCUACAGAUCGCCUUCUAUUUUUUUUCCAUCAUUUCACAUUGCAGUGCGUUCACGCUGUUUUUGAUUUCGUUUAAAAAUGUGACCAGGCAUCCACGGAAAUCACAGCCUGUCAUAGUUGCCUAUCCCCACAUGUUAUCUCAUGUCCAUCCUAUUUUGUCCACAUUGCCCUGAAACGUUCAAGACACCAGCAUGUCGUUUAUGUAUUGCAAUUUGUGACAGGACCCAGGAAGUUGAGAGACCCAGAUUUGGCUAGAUGGCGCUCCCUCUCUUGACACAAAAACAUCACCAACAGAUUCUGACAUGUGACGGCUCUCCUCUCGGGCAGGUUGCAGCUUGAGAGUUUGUGCGGACAUGCAUUGACGUAUGCACUCAAAAUACCAUCAAUACAGUGACAUUGACCUGCAUUGACCUGUGACUUGCAGUGUGUAAAAGAAAUGUAUAUAUAUUGUGGAUGUGGUUGAAAAGGCACGGACCUAACACCGAAUACGUUUUUCUCUUCAUCUGCAUUGAUAUCCAUCCAUUCAUCUAUUUUCCGAUCCGCUUGUGCUCACAAGGAUCGCGGGCGGUGGUUGCUGGAGCCUUGCCCAGCUGUCUUCGGCAGUAGGCAAGGGACACCCUGAUCCUGUUGCCAGCCAAUCGCAGGGCACACAGAGACGAACAACCAUCCAAACUCAGACUCACACCUAGGGACAAUUUAGAUUGUUCAGUCAGCCUGCUAUGCAUGUUUUUGGAAUGUGGAAGGAAACCGCAGUACCCAGAGAAAACCCAUGCAGGCCUGGGGAGAACAUGCAAACUCCACGUAGCUGCAAUUUAACCCAGGACCUCUGCACUGUGAGGUCUACGUGGUAACCACUGGACCACCGGGCCGCCCAGCAUUGAUAUUAUAUUGAUUAUUGAAUCAUAAUCGUUUACAUCUGUGUCACAAAGCAUCUAAGACUCCAAGCAGUAAGUUAUCUCGACUAUUUACCUAAUUUCUUACUUGAAAAAAAAACUUUAGAAAUCAUUCACAUUCAAACAAAAUGAAUCCCUGUUUUUAACCUCUACACACACUGCUCCAAUCCGUCUUACAAUUCCACAGCU